AAGAAGAGUGCGUCUUGGCCUAAUGAUAUUGGAUUGUCUUGUAGCGAGAGGACGGUGGCGCUUCAAGGCGGCCUGAAAGUUGCGGACGAAGUUGGGGGAAGAAGGAUCUAGCUUGAUCGGAAGGUUAGACUUCCCAUCCAUGGAACAAUCUCCUUAGGUUCGUUAGUCAAACCACACGAAGCCCUGCUUCUAGCUUUUAGAACAAAAGUAAUAGUGCGUGAUGAUUUCUUCCUGGAAUUAACCUCUCCUCCCUUUUCGUUAUGCACAGACAUUUCUUUACUGCUCUCUUCUUCAGAUAUUAUUAUAUCAAUUACAUCCACAGGCUUUGGUUUUGCAGUGACUUUCUUCUGAACAGGUUCACUUCGUUGGAUACGAGGCCAAAGAAAUUCCUCAAUGGCUGCUAAACUAGCUAAUGGAUCAAUCAACACAACAUUGCCUGAAUAAUCCCUAAGUGACUUU
rnacentral:lncRNA from 1 species